rnacentral:rRNA from 1 species
UACCYGUCUUGAAACACGGACCAAGGAGUCUAGCAUGCGCGCGAGUCAUUGGGAACUGAUAAACCCAGAGGCGAAAUGAAAGUGAACAGCGCCAUUUCGGUGGCCGCAGGGAAGAUGGCGGCCGGUAAGCCCGUCCGCCCGCAUUCCCGAGGCGUUUCGAGAAAUGCCUCCGUUGCGAUUAUCGAGACGCACUGAGAGCGCGCACGCUGGGACCCGAAAGAUGGUGAACUAUGCCUGGUCAGGUCGAAGUCAGGGGAAACCCUGAUGGAGGACCGUAGCGAUUCUGACGUGCAAAUCGAUCGUCUGAACUGGGUAUAGGGGCGAAAGACUAAUCGAACUAUCUAAUAGCUGGUCUCAAGUUUC